UCUUGCUUUACAAGUACAGCUUUCCUUCCGUUUCUUCUUUUUGCAGGAUUCGCAUUUUUUUGCAGCUCAUUUAUUUCAACCAUCUCAUUUGAAUUUGGUUUCAAGUCUUCCAGGUCAAAAUUUUUCCCAUCAUCCUUUUCUUCUUGUUUUUCCAUUUUUCCGGCAUUUUCCAUCAGUUUCUGGAAUAACCUUCCAUUUUUGGAGAUCUCCUCGAAGGUACCCUCUUCCUUAAUUACACCAUUUGCGACAAGGAGGAUGUAGUCUACAUGUGGAAGAAAAUGUAGCUGGUUUGUGACAAGUAUUCUGGUUUUCCCUUGCAACUCUUCCUUGAUACAUCUGCUGAAAACCUGCAAAUGACUUCAGAUGAGAUCAAUAUGGCAUAGCCUCAAGCACCCACCUUGGGGAUCAAACAAAGUUGGAUGAUCACCCCUUACAGUUGAAAAUACAUCCUGAUAGAAACUGAAAAAAGCUUUUCUCUUAAAAGGAAGAGAUAGUUAAUUCAUUUUCCAAAGAAGAGUUUGCUGAGAAUUUUUUUAUCUUUUUUUUGGGGGGGGGUUGUCCUUGAAGGACACUGGUAUUAUGCAGAAGACAAAGUUGAUCUCAACUUAUUCAGAUUAUUGCUUCUUUUUUUCGUUUUCUAAUGGGUUUGAUCUUAUUCAGUUUAAUUAUGGCCUGAAGCUAUUUAAGCCAUGUUUUUAUUAGAGCCUCCUUGCGGGACAAGAAGUACUAGUUCAAUAAUUUCUUGUCAGGGUUAGGAGUCAAUAUAUAAGAAAAAGAAUUACCAUCAUAUUACUUUUCAGCAUUUUUGCUCUAAUUCCUUCAUCUCAACUUUAAACCGACACCAAAUCUCAUCCAAACUUUAACUGCUCUGACAAUUUUCAAUUCUUUUGACCUUGAUUAAUCCUUAAACAUACCCUUAAAACUAAUUCUCGCAUUUUGCAGUAAUAUAGAUCGUCACAUUCUAGUCUGAUAAGCAUCUAUUUCCUGUUCUACAGUACUGCGAAAUGAACUAUGAUCAGUGUAGAAUGUGACAGAUAUUAAAUGUUGAUCAGAGUAGAUAGACUACCUGCUGUGCAACAUGCGCAUCGAGGGCACUUAAAGGGUCAUCAAAUAUAUACACAUCUGAAUUGGAGUAGACAGCUCUAGCCAGGGAAACUCUCUGCUUCUGCCCACCACUGAUAUUCACCCCUCUUUCACCGAUCUCAGUAAGAUCAUGAUCCUGAAGCCCAGUAGACAAUGGUUAAUUAGUUAUGGAGACAUUCAAAAUAAUCAAAAGAAAUGACAAGUAGAUGUAUUAAAUUCACUUAACAGGAAGUAUGUCAAGAUCAUGCCGCAGGGCUGUAACAUCAAUUGUCUUCCAAUACCGUUCAGGUUGAAAGCUACACCCAAACAAUAUGUUGUUACGAACCUGUGAAAUAAAGUUUGAAGGUCAGAAACAAGUGGUAGUAGAAACUUUCAUUUCCAAAGAACGCUAAAAUUUGAAAUGGAAUCAAAUAUCAAUGAAGAAUGUAAGCAAUCUGCAACCUACAGUAGCAUUAAAAAUCCAUGAAACUUGUGGAACAUAAGCGACAGUCCCUCUUAUUGCAAGACUUGAAUUAGCAUCUGCAGGUAUCUCCCCUAGCAUUGCUGAUACAAGUGAUGUUUUCCCUUCUCCAGUUCCACCAACAAUUGCAACCAGGCUGCCAACUGGCACCUCCAAAUUGAUAUUUGAUAAGGUAGGUUUCUCUGCCUGGAAAGAAAAUCUAAAAAAUGUCUUUUAUCUACGACAGAAUUACAUUGCAAUAUCAAUAAUGUUGAUGAUAAGUAUGCAAGAACUUCCUAAUUAUAAUGCUGGGAAAGCACAACCUACAGAGACAACACUGCUUAGUAUAGUAGUCAACUUUAUCCUAAGCAAUAGUCAAAGAGUCGCAAUUUUUUAAAUAAGCUGCCCUUCUGGGAUCUCUUUUAAGUCAAUAGCAUGUGAUGAAGUUGGACAAGUCAGGUGCUCCAUAUACGACGGAAGUACCAAAUUCAGUGAAAGAAAAUAGCUAUAAUCCAUUGAUAAGGGUUAUACCCUUUUACAGCAUGGUUGGAUUUCUUAAAAAUAAAGGAAAGUCAAGCAAAUCAAGGGAAAGGAUAAUUCUUUCCCUUGUUUGGAUGACGUAUUUUUGUUGAACAUGGACUGUAAAGCAACAAAGGAGCAACUUGGUGCAUUUUGUUUAUUUUGUUUAUUUUAUUUAUUUUGUUUAUUUUUAAUAUUUGUAAUGAUAGCUAUAAUUGAAACAAGUUGAUAUGCAACUUGGUUUCAUAAUAAUAGCUAAUAUGCUUUCAUAAUGAUAGCUAUAAUGCUUUCAUCUUUUGCUUUCAUAAUGAUAGCUAAUAUGCUUUCAUAAUGGUAGUUACAAUGCUUUCAUCUUUUUAAUUAUUAAUUGGCAAGUUGCCAAAUUUAGUGGAAAUUGUUAGGUAAACAUUCCACUUUUGUAAUUCUUAUAUAUUUUGUAAUGGAAAUGAAAGUGUAGACUUUCUCAUUCGGCUAUUUUUUAGCCUAUCAAUUUUUGCUUGCUGUUUUCAUGAGCUUAUGCUCUUUGUUGUUCAUUGUUGCUGCUGUUUUUUUUUUCUAACAAUUUUGAUUAAGCAAGGGAAAGUAACGGGAGUUAGGUGAGGGGAAAAGAAACAUAAAACAAUUUGGAUUAUGUAAAAAAUCCAUUUUGUCCUUCAAAGAUUUUAUUAUUAACAAUUUAUUUUUAUAUUUGCAUUUAAUCUUUUUAGAAGAUUAGGUCUAUAUUUAUUAAAUUUGUAUUUAAAAAUUUAACAAUCUUAUCAUUAGUUUUUAUCUUUUAUGAAGAAUAUUCGUAUUUUUCUAUAAUAUUUAAUUUAAUUUUGUUAUUAAUUAUUUGGAAAUUUCAUGUAAAAUAAAUAAUUUCCAUUCCUUUUCACAGUUUACCCAAACAAAAGAUGUUAGAAUUCCUUUCCUUUACUUUCCUUUAUAAUUUUUAACUAUCCAAGCAAUAAUUAAAUAUAUAUUUUCCUUUAACAUUCCCCUACUCUCUUUUCUUUUUCUUUCCUUUAAUUAUAUUUAACCAAACAGUGUUAAAAAUCUAAAACAAUGGGAAGCCCUCCAAAAUAGUACCUAGAAUCCAUUGUGAAGGGUUAUUUUCUUUUAAAGAUCUAAUACAAUGGAAAUUAGAGAUGUUAAUGGGUCAGUUCGGGUUUAAACACAAUGUUAAUGCACUUUAUGCUUGCUCAAAUUCAGUUCGAAAAUGAGCCUAAAGUUUUACCCAAACAUAUUUAUAUUUGUAAAUAACAACCCAAGCCCAUUUGAGGCCCAUCCAGAUUUUUUUUAAUUUUUUAAAAUAUAUAUUUAUAUUAUUUAAAUUUAAUAUUAAUGCAUUUAUAUUUUUUACAUUUAUUAAAAUUUUAUAUAGGAAUCUUAACAUUUUUUUGAAUGUUUAUGUUAGAAUAUUAUAUAUUACUAUAGAUUUAAUUAUUAUGUAUUAUAAAUUACGUAACAUAUAAAUAACAUGACAUAACAUAUAACAAACUUAGAAAACGGGCUAAACCAAGCUUAGGCCUUGAAUGUACAAGCUUGAGCCCAAUCCAUAUUUAAAUGGGCCUAAUUUUUUUGUCUAAACCCAUUUUUUAGACUUAAUAUUUUUGUUCAAACGCUCUCAAAUUUUGAGUAAACCUUUAAGCUUAGGCGAGUAACGUGGCCCAUGAAAAUUUCUAAUAGGAAGCCCUCCAAAAUAUCACCUUAAUUUCUACAGACUUGUAAUUUACUAUAAGUUAACUUAUAGGGGCACAAAGAGAUGUUUUUGUAAAGGAUAGUAGUAGUGUUUUAGUGUUGCUUCCAUUACUACUGUUGCUAAAGCAAUGUGUCCUAUGUAAUAUCCGAAGCUAUAAUGCUUCAGCCUGAUGCCUUCACACAGACUCAAUAUCUAAAACUUUAUUUCAAUCUUUCUAUUCUCGCAGAGCAUGAAACAGACUAAAUUUAUUGAGUGAUCAUCGCUAAACCCUUCACAAGCAAUACUAAAUGCAAAAGUUCCAUUUUAGCAAAGCAGAUGACUCCAAAUUUAAACAACAUAAAAACAAGAAUAACACUUUAGAAUGACCUUUGAAUCCCAUGAAAAGUUUCCAUCCUUAAUCGAGAUGGCUGGAAGCCCUGGCUGAAGAGGUGGAUUUGGUGCUAGAACCCUCUCUUCAGCUAAGAAAAGCUCCUGAAGACGUUGCAAUGACACAUUUGCAUUAACGACCUGAAAAACCAAGCUUUAGAUUGUCAAAUAGACAACUGAAACUAUUUUGAAUCUUUUAGCAAUCCUACUGAACUUAAUGACAAGUAAACCUUGAAAAUUGUUGCAGCUGCAUAACAAUACAAAUAAGGUUCAACAAAAAAUCACGUGCAUUAUUAAAUUCUUAAGUUUACUUUCCUUUCAUUACCAUAAACUCAUUAUAUUUAUCAAAUAGCUCUUAAGUUAUUGAGUGACUAAAUGGUUUUGUAGUCUAGCCAAUAGAUCAAAGCAAACGUGUCUUCAGAGGUAAUGUGUAAACCUGACUUAACAAAUUAGGAAGUGUGCUCAGAGGACAUCGUAGCAGUUUAAAGAGCGAAAGUGAUGUGAAUGCCCUUGCCGGUGUUAAAUCCCCACCAAGCAAAGUGAAUGUCCCAAAUGAAACUACUGUCACAACAACUGGUAUGCUGUUCAGUAUGAAACUGUUAAACUGCAAGAAAGAGAAGUUAAAUGGAAAAUAAAUAAUUAAAAAUAUAAAUAAACUCAAAUUGUGUGGUAAAACACAUGAAUACUUCAUGUAGCUUGAUUGCUAGUAGUGCGAACAGCUAGUGCAACAUGCAUAGAUCAGCUACAUAGAGAAAUGAGUUUUUGACCAUGUUCAUUUUGAGAGCAUUUUGUAUAAUGGGCCAAGAUACUAAUGUAGCAACAGAUCACGAGUAUGUGUCACAACUUACUAUAAAUCAAAAACAAGGUAGCAAUAAUGUAAGCCAUCUUUCCCAUAACCUGGAUUAAAACAGGGAAUCUGAGAUUAUGAAUGAUUACAACCAUAAUCACAUUUUCCCUCAAAUCAAGUUGUGAAGGCAUACUUGUAAAUUUUAUGGUUGGUGUUACAUUUUCCGGUGCAAAAGGAAGUACACUCGUUGAUUUUACAUGGCAACUGGCAACUUCAUACUCUAUUUUGGCAUUUCAUAUGGCAAAGACACAUGCAAAGAAAAAAUGGACUAGAAUUUCAAAUAUCAUACAGCAGAUAGUAGCUGAGCUCUCCGAAGCCAAGACAGCUCAUCAUUUCGUAUACUGUGAACUCUUGUCUGAAAGCUCUUCUCCCAUGCAUAAAAUCUGAAAAUUUUCCAAGCAUAGGACCAAUAAGCAAUGUCAAAUGGAAAAAAAUAUAUUGAAAAUCCAAGGGAAAUGCUUUCUAAAUUCAACCAUACUUCACUGUGUCCAUAGCAGCUAAAAUUUCGUUCAUAAAGCUGACUCUCCUGUCAGUCCACUUUAGUCCUUCCUUGGUCAUUAUUCGCAUUUUGCUAAUCACAAUGGUCUGUCCCCAUAUAAAUAGAGGUAAUGUUAAGGCAUGAUCAAUCAUCACAAAGAUGGUUUAAAUAAUUUCAUCUUGCAGGGAACCAAAAAUAGAAGAUAAUAGAUGCAAACCACGAAAAUAUUUUUCCCAACUUGAGUGUCACAGUAACUUGCAUCGACUGGCAGACUUCUCCGUGAGACAAGAUUUAAUCCAAUGAUUUGGUUUUUCUACCUAUGUCACCACUCAUGCUCUUUUUGCUUUCUUUCUCUCUCUGAUCUAUAAGUAGUCUGAAUGAAUUAAGGAGAUAACUGCAAUGUUAACUCCAGAGAAAGGGGCUUUAACUACAGCCUUAAAUAUGGGAAGCUGGCAGAAAAUGAUUACAAUGACUGGCAUCAAUUUGAUCAAGUAAAUUCUCACUUUGCUAAGAAAAUGAAAUCUAUCACUUCAAGAAUUGAAAAGGGUAGGAAACAACUAAAAACAAAGAGUUUCAAUAAAUAUUAAAAAAUGCAAUAAAGAUUUGUACCUGCAGUGGAACCAUGAGAACUAGAAUUACUGAUCCAAGAAGUGAAGCAACACCUAGUUGCUGAUAAAGAAGAACCAUGGAAAUAAUGAUACGAAACGGAGCUGACCACAACACGUGAAGUUGUUGGCAUAUUUGCUAAACAAAGUAAAGUAGUAUCAAUAAUAGUUCAGAUCAACUCUCUAACCAACAUGGGAAGAAUAAAAAAAAUGGACGCAAAAUACAAGAUUCAUUGCAACUUGCAAAUGUUAAGCACAUUUUGGUCUAGGAUCAUAACAGUAUAGAUGUCCUCCCAUGUUAUGUUCUUAUUAAGUCAACAAGUUAUAAUAGAAGAAGCUACCAUAUAUUAACAUGAAUAUUGUUUUUAACACUAUUAAAAAAAAACCUAACUUAGUUUAAACUAGACCUCUUCAAGGACCGGCUUAGUCACCCAAAAUUUGAGAGGAUUUGGGCAAAAAUAUUAGGCUUGAAAAUGAGCUUGGGCAAAAAAAUUAGUCUUGUUAAAAUAUGGCUCAGGUUAUAAAAAUUAGAUUUAUGGUAAUAUAUAAUACUAUAAUGUAAAUUAGAAAAAUGUUAAGUUGUCUAUACAUAAAAUUCUAAUAAAUAAAAAAGUAUAUUAAAUUAUUAAAUAUUAAAUUAAAAGCAAUAUAAAUUUUUUUUCAAAAAAAAUUUAAAAAAAUAUGGAGGAGCUUAAAAUAGGCUUGGGUUAGUCUUUUACAAAUAUACGCGGACCUGGGUAAAAUUUUAGGCCCAUAUUUCGAACCAGACCAAGCUUGGGCAAGUAUAAAGUGUGGUAAUAUCGUGCUUAAGCCUAGUCCAAACCUAACUCAUCCUGUGAACAAUUCUGAUUUAAAGAUCAUAAAUCCACACUCAAAUUUUUCUACUUUUGUAACCAAAAUGGCCAAUAUAUUCGCUAGAUGUUUCAAAAUCUCAAAUUUCAGUUGACAGUUAUAUCGAUUACAUCAAUGGCAACAUUCUGCAAUGAACUUUGGCUCAAGUGCCAUUGUUAAAGCUGACUUCCAUGCAUCACAAGAAGCAGACCAAGCUGCCGAGCCAUGCAGUUGCAACUGAAGCUCAUGCUGUUGAUUCAUUUUGGUUACUUAGUUUGAUUUGAACUAUAUUGUCAUUGUACUUGAUGUAAUUAGGUAAUGUUUGAGUUGAUAAACCAGCUUUACCAAGUGUGCAAGUUUUGUUUUAACAAGUUACAAUGCUACUUAGUAGGGUUAGGUGAUGGUUAGGUAACUUUGUAGUAUUUUGACUAGCUGAAAUGCUUGGUAUAUGUAAUGGCAUUAUGCCUUAAUUCAAUGUAAUAAAAUCUUUUAGAAAUUCUUCUUCAAUUUCUGGUCUUUACUCAAGUUUUUUACUCAAGUUCUUAAGCUGAACUUUCUUGUUUGUUCAGCAAGACAUUGAUGCUUCUUGAUUAAGCUUCUGUGAAAUCUCUCAUUCUGUUUUCAUAGUUUCAACAAUUGGUAUCAAGAGCUUAUUUCUUAGUGGACCUGUCAUUCUUCAAGUCUAAAAAUCAUGUCUUCAUCCGGAUUUUCUCUAGCUCUACCACCAGUGUUCAAUGGUGAAGGCUACUACAUUUGGGUAGUGAAAAUAAAGACCUACCUGCAAGUAUUUGACUUGUGGGAGAUUGUUAACUCGGAUGUUGAACCAACAACUCUAAGAGCCAAUCCUACUGUGGCUCAUAUCAGGCAGCACACAGAUGAAAGAACCAAGAGACACAAGGCCAUGUCUUGCAUCCAAAACAGUGUGUCUGAUGUGAUUUUCACAAGGAUCAUGGCUUGUGAGUCACCAAAGCAGGACUAGGAUAAGCUGAAGGAGGAGUUUCAAGGGACUGAAAGAACAAGACAGCAACAACUCUUGAAUUUGAGAAGGGACCUUGAAAAUUUGAAGAAGGAAGAAGAAACAGUGAAGCAAUACUCAGACAUAAUUAUGUUUGUUGUGAACAGCAUCAGAUUGCUUGGGGACCAGUUUAGUGAAGCAAGAAUAGUGGCAAAGGUCAUUGCAACCUUACCUAAGAUAUGAAGCCAAGAUCUCUUCCCUUGAAGACUCAAGAGAUCUGACAAGCAUCUCUUUGACUGAGCUAAUCAAUGCUCUUUAUGCUCAAGAGUAAAGAAGAGCCAGCAAAUAAGAGGAGCAUCAAGAAGGUGCCUUCCACGCCAAAAGCAGACCUGCCUCGAGCUUCUCUGGCUACAAGGGGAAGAAAGUCUGGUCUGACAAGCCUAGAAGAGAUGGAGCAAGAAGAAGAUAUUCACCUUGUCCACACUGCAAAAGGCUCAGUCAUCUAGGAGAAAAUUAUUAGUUUAGGUCUGAUGUGCAGUGCAAAGUCUGUAAAACAAUGGGCCACUUUGAGAAAGUUUGCAGAAACAAAGGCAAGUUGAAGCAAAACUAGCCUCAAUAGCCUAGAGCUGAAGCUCAAGUGGCAGAAGAAGGUAGUGACCAGGAAGAACAAGUCUUUGCAGUCUCUUACUCAGCAGCCAAAGGAAAAGCCACAAAAGGAUGGUUGAUAAACAGUGAUUGCACAAACCACAUGACUUCUAAUGCUGCUAUUUUCAAGAACUUAGACAGAACCUUCAAUACAAUGGUGAAAGUUGGCAAUGAACACUUUAUCAAAGCAGAAAGCAAAGGAGAUAUGCUAAUUGACACCCCCACAGGUAUCAAACUUGUUUCAAAUGUCUUGUUUGUGCUUGAAAUUGAUAGAAAUCUACUUAGUAUAGCUUAGUUGCUAGAAAAGGACUAUUCAGUAGUGUUCAAAGGCAAAGAAAUCCUGAUCAGUGAUCCAUGUGGAUCGAAACUCAUGUCAGUGACCAUAGCUGACAGAAGUUUUGUUGUGGACUGGAACAAGGGUUCAGAUAGUGCCUAUACAGCUGCUUUGGAUGAAUCCAAGCUAUGAUACAAGAGGCUAGGUCAUGUCAACUACAAGUCAAUGGUUCAGCUGACCAAAAAAGACUUGGUUGAAAACUUCACAAAAUCAGUUGAGAAUGAGGAUGUUUGUGAAGUGUGUCAGCUAGGAAACCAAACUAGACAGUCAUUUCCUUUGAACAAUGCCUGGAGAGCUUCAGAAAAGCUGCAGCUAGUCCACACUGAUGUGUGUGGCCCUAUGAAGACACAGUCUUUGAAUGGUAACAGGUAUUUCAUCAUUUUCAUUGAUGAUUACUCGAUGUUUUGCUAGGUUUACUUCUUAAAGCACAAGUCAAAAGUAGCCUCAGUGUUUUAGAAAUUCAAGGCUGCAGCAGAAACAGAAUCAGGGUGCAAGUUGAAGACAUUAAGGUCAGAUAAUGGCAUAGAGUACACUUCAGUAAUAUUUCAGGGCUUUUGUGAUGAAGCAGGCAUCAAGCACCAGCUUACAAACACUUACACACAUCGGCAAAAUGGUGUUAGUGAAAGAAAGAAUCGAACUUUGCUGGAUAUGGCUAGAUGCCUAAUGUUUGAGAGGAAUUUACCUAGAACCUUUUGGGCUGAGGCAGUUAACACUACAAUUUACAACCAAAACAGGCUACCAACCAAGGCAUUGGUUCAUAAAACCCCAUUUGAUGCCUGGUUUAGGAUCAAACCAUCACUGGCUCACCUAAGGGUCUUUGGCUGCAUAUGUUAUGCACAUGUUCUAGCGGUAAAAGGAGACAAGUUGGCCAAGAAGGCUCAACCUGGCAUCCUGGUGGGAUAUAGCAGUAUCAAGAAAGGCUAUAGGGUCUUGGAUCCUUCAUCCAAUAAAGUCUUUGUGACCAGGGAUGUUGUAUUCGAUGAGAAAUCAGGCUGGAACUGGAAUAAAAAUGAAUCAAAGACUGCCGCCGAAGACUUGAUGACAGAUUAAACUGAAGCUGAUCAAAAUGGUCCUGAAAUGGGCAUUGACCAUGAGCUAGUCAGAAGAACCAGACCUUUGAGUGAAAUAUAUGAGAGGGCUGAAGUGGCUGCUAUUGAACCAAGCUGCUUUGAAGAAGCUAAAGCUCAACAAAGAUGGAAACAUGACUUGCUUGAUGAAAUGUGCAUGAUUCACAAGAAUCAUACAUGGGAGCUAGUUGCAAGACUAGCCAACAGGAAGGUCAUAGGAGUAAAAUAGGUGUUUCGAGCCAAGCACAAUGCUGAUGAAACUCUGAACAAGCUGAAGGCAAGACUAGUUGUGAAGGGAUUCAAUCAAAAGUUUGGCACUAACUACUUUGAAACAUUUGCAUUAGUGAUCAGACUUGACACAAUCAGGUUAUUGGUUGCUUUGGCUAUAUAAAAGCAGUGGAAAAUUCAUCAACUCGAUGUAAAGUCUGCUUUCCUCAAUGGUUUUCUUGAUGAGGAGAUUUAUGUUAAACAGCCUAAAGAUUUCAAAGUUGCAAGCAAGGAGGACAAUGUGUACAAGCUGAAAAAUGUCUUGUAUGGCUUAAAACAGGCACCAAGAGCCUGGUAUGACAGAAUUGACACUUACCUAGCAAGCUUGGGGUUUGAGAGAAGCAUUAGUGAGCCAACCUUGUAUGUGAAAAAAGAGGGUGAUGAAACACAGCUUAUAGUCUCCCUAUAUGUGGAUGACUUACUGGUGAUAGGAGGAAACCAUGAUAUGCUGGCAAAUUUCAAAAACAAAAUGGAGUGCAUGUUUGAGAUGUCUGAUUUAGGAGAAAUGACUUACUUCAUUGGCAUGGAAGUAACACAAACUCAGUAAGAAAAUUUCCUUAGUCAAAAAGUUUUUGCUUUGAAAAUUCUGAACAAAUUCUCAAUGUUGAACUGCAAAGCAAACAGCACACCAAUUGCCAUUGGAGAAAAACUGACCAGCCAAGGUGAUUUCGAGAAGAUAGCUAAGUCAACCUACAAAAGUUUGGUUGAAUGUUUGCUCUACUUGAUAGCUACUAGACCAAAAAUUAUGUUUGCUAUAAUUCUGUUGUCUAGAUUUAUGCAUUGCUGCAAUGUGAGGCAUCUCCAAGCUGCCAAAAGAGUUCUCAGGUACAUCAAAGGUACACUGAGCUUUGGAAUGAUGUUCGCCAAGGUUGAUAGCAUGAAGCUGCUUGGAUAUGCUGAUAGUGGUUAGGCUGGAUCGAUAGAUGAUAUGAAGAGCACUUCAGGGUAUCUAUUUACCCUUGGUUUAGCUAUUUUUUGUUGGAGUUCAAAGAAGCAAAUUGUUGUUGCUCAAUCAACAGUUGAGGCAGAGUAUGUGGCAGCUACAGGAGCUGUUAACCAAACAAUUUGUUUAAGGAAAAUCAUGGCAGAUUUAAAUCUACACCAAAGGAAAGCAACAGAGAUCAGAUGUGAUAACCAAUCUGCUAUUGCAAUUGCAAAGAAUCCAGUUUUUAAUGGGAGAACCAAACAUUUCAAGAUUAAGUUUCAUUUUGUUAGGGAAAUGGAACAAGCUCAAGAGGUGAAACUGAUUCAUUGCAAUUCUGAAGAACAGCUUGCUGACAUCUUGACAAAGCCUCUUUGUGUGUCAAAGAUUUACAGUUUUAAGAACCAAAUUAGGAGUAUGCAACAUGCAAUCCAAAGAGGAGUGUUGAAGCUGACUUCCAUGCAGCACAAGAAGUAGACCAAGCUGCUGAGCCAUGCAGUUGCAACUAAAGCUCAUGCUGCUGAAUCAUUUUGGUUACUUCAAGUGUUUGUUUUGUUACUUAGUCUGAUUUGAACUAAGUUGUCAUUGUACUUGAUGUAAUUAGGUAAUGUUUAAGCUGAUAAAUCAGCUUUACCAAGUGUGCAAGUUUUGUUUUAACAAGUUACAAUGCUACUUAGUGGAGUUAGAUAGAUGUUUAGGUAACUUUGUAUUAUUUUGACCAGCUGAAAAGCUUGGUAUAUGUAAUGGCAUUAUGCCUUAAUUCAAUGUAACAAAAUCUUUAGAAAAUUCUUCUUCAAUUUCUGGUCUUUACUCAAGUUUUUUACUCAAGUUCUUAAGCUGAAUUUUCUUGUUUGUUCAGCAAGACAUUGAUGCUUCUUGCAUAAGCUUCUGUGAAAUCUCUCAUUCUAUUUUCUUAGUUCCAACAGCAAUUUUUGUAUUCAUCUUGAUACUGUCAAAGGAUCAUCAUCUUUCUUAAAGUACCGACAUAAGGCAAAGUUUUAAAUAUAAAAGGAUAUAUACUAAAAAUUUUCUAAAAUAUACUGUACUUUGUCUUUAUGGACUUCGAUUCUAAAUGCAUAAUACACCAUUCUUGGAAUCGAUUAACACUUCCAUUUUCACAACAAUCAGACAAGGACCAUACCUGAAGUGCAGUAGCAUCUGUUGUAAUCAUAUUUGUUAUCUUUCCAGAAGGGAAAUUCUUGCGAGCCUCAUGAGUCAAUCUCAAAGAAUUGUGAAAUAUAGCUGCCACCUAUGACAGAAACAGUAAAAUGCAAUUAAGUCACCAAAUUGAAAUGGAUAACUCAGCCUCUACUUGAAAAGCAAAAGAGGCUCCAUGUGCUUGUUUGUGUCUAUUUUAGGAGGAAGGAACUAUAUUACCAGAGUAGACCGUAGACGAAAACCAACACGCCAAACAUUCUGCAUGUACUGAGCCUCAAGCAGUACAACACAUAACUGAAAUAAGUCAAAAUAAGUCACGUUAUCAGAACAGAAGAAAGCUCUCCACGGCAUCACUUCUUUGAACUUUCAUGAAUAGCUAAUAUAAGCAACAACCUUCAUCUUUUGUUGAAGAGAAACAAACAUAUGGACAAAGACAAUGAUAGCAACACAGCUAUUCAUAUUACAUAAGAAAUGAGAGAAAGCAUGAAUAAAAUGCUCGAGUUAAACAGACCACAAUAUUCAGGUUUGUUGCAAAAAACAUAUACAAUGCUAUGCUAUGAAAUAAUUUGUACAAAAGAAAACUCUAAACUGGGAGAAUCCAGGUUUAUACUAAAAAAGGAAAUCCAGAUAUGGAAACACAAAAUUGGGACCAUACCACUCCAAGAAACAUCAAGAAGGCGUAGAUGUAACCAACCCAUGCUGGGUCACCUCGUUGCAUAGACUGCAGACCAUAACAAGAGAAUUAUAUAUUUAACACAGAGCACAGAAUGACAAAGUAGAAUAAUCACUAAAUGAUGAAAAAUUAAAAAAUUGUCUACCACAGUAUUACUUUGGCCAGAGAAAAAUCAUUGUGUUACUUGUUAUUACUUAAAAUUUCUAUAAUUUCUUAAAAUACAUACAUCCUCAGUAGAACUAUAGGGUUAUUGAAUCUGAAAUCGAACAUUUCUCUUCUAUAGCAGAAUAAACAAAUAGAUACAAGAGGUCAUUUCUUUAAUUAGGCCUUAACCAGGAAAUAGGAAAAUAAACAUAAACCUGUAAGAGAUGGUUCAACAACAUAGGCCCCGCAAACUGACAAAGGUCACAUCCAAUCUGCAAUGUGCAAAUAGGAAUUCAUAAGCUAGCAUUCAAAAGUUUGUUACAAAUUCUUUAGACAAUUUAGUCAUAUUAUCAUGAAAUGCUAAGUCUCCAAUAUGACUUUCUAGUAGGAAAACUCUACAUUUUAUCUAUAGAAAAUAUGCACACUCAAAAUGGCUAAGACUUAUUAUUGGUCGAGAUCAGCAUAAGCAAGACUCAUGCUCAUGAACAGGAUGAGGGUUGCAAAACUUAAUUUAUUACCGUUUCAAAUAGUGGCCACUGAAGGAGCAUCUAAGCUACAACACAUAUGGUAAAGGAUGCAAAAUUCUUCAAUACAGUAGAUGGCGUAGAUAAAUGAAGAAAAACACCUACCAUGUAUAAAAUAAAUUAUAAUUACUCAAAAUUUCGAGCUCACAAAACACGAAACAUGUAUCACCUAAAAAUAAUCCUGUUCUCUUAAUUCAAAUAACUUAAUAAUUUAUCAUCAAAUUAAUUUCCAUGAGAAAUACGAAUAGCAUGCUCAUUACCUUGAAAACACCCCCCAACCAAAACCUGCAUGAUUCAUUUAUAGAGAAAUAGUUAAUAUAGGUAAGGCAAGAUGACAUCUAGACUUGAUAGAGGAAUACUUCAGGAUGCAUAAGUUCUUAUUAGUCAUUACCACUUUUAUAAAGGAAGGGAAAAGUGUAACCACAUAGUUAACUAACCUUCCUCCCAAGCUACUAUUCAGUGCUCUCAAAAGCCAUGGCUUAGAUCUUUUAGCUUCUUUGUCCCAACAUCUAUGGAAUCUGUAGAGGUAGAAAUUGCUAUCUUUGAGUGAUUGUAUGCAUUAUCAUGUGGAAGCAAAUGCAAGGAAGUGACAGAAUGCUAACUUAUGAAUCAGUAUUUCGGUCUGAUCCCAUGUAUCCAACUUCCAAACAUCCCUCUCAGUGAUAGGUCUUUUAUAACCUUGCAACAUUAGUGGAGUAAUCCAUCCGAAAAAAAUUCCUGUCAUAUCAUAUUGCGUAAAACUUUGAACUAGAAGCUCACAAGUUCAUAGUAAAGCAUCACUUACUUAUGAUUUGAGCAAAAUUUAUAUUUGCGAAAAUCAUAGAAAACAUUUAAUAUCUGUAGGACAGACCAAACCGUCUUUAUAUAUAAAUGGACUAUGUUGCUUUGGCUAUUUACUUUUCCCUAAAUACCCAUGUUAGACAAUUAUUGGAAACCUUACACUGGACAUGUGUGUGGGGAUUCAAGCCCUAAACCUUUCAAAUAUUAUGUGGCCCCGGGGGGGGGGGGGGAAUCAAAUGCAACGGAUGAACACGUAAUCAUGUUCGACACUUCUCUCAAGUUCCAAGCAACAUGGACCAAGGAUGCCAAACUUCUGAUAAAGAGUAUAUAGAUUCUUUUGACAAGAACAUCCAAGACUAGCACAUAUCAUUAUCUUAUUGACAGACUAGCCAAGUCAUUACCUAGUUAUAGUUCCAUCAUAAUGGUUCUUUUCCACAAAUAACCAGCAAACCUGAAAUCAAUUGAACUCUUUGAACUUGUAGUACCAGGACCAAACAUUCCGAGGACUUACUCGGAUAAAGGAAAUGCAGACAUACACACACACACAGACACACAUAAUAUAUAAUAUAAAUAUACAUUCUGUUCACAAUGUAGAACAUCCCAAUCCCAUUACUUGCACAUAUUAAUAUAACAUCUGUCCUUAUGUACAGUCUAGCGCAGCAAUUACAUAGUUAUAGUUCUAUCAAAAUGAUACUUUUCUAAAAAUAAUUAGCAAACCUGCAGCAUUUGUAAUUUUGAACUUGUGGCAUCAUAAUCUCUCAAUCAAAGUACUUACUUGAAAUAAUGCUGGCCUGCCUCUCAGGGCAUAUUUGCUCUCCUCCAGAAAGUGGUUCAUAUUUUUCAUCAUCAAGAGAAUCACUUUCAAUCAAACGAUACCCAGGGGAGAGAUGGAGAUUAGGAAAAUAAACAAGUAGAAGAAUCCCAAAUAAAACCUACACCGGAAAAUAAGCACAAUAAACCAAACUGCCAUAAAGACUUGAAGACAAAAAUCAUUAGAACUCAUUGUCAAAGAAAUUGUCCAAAUUUCUGUCCCAAAGGGUUUAAAUUUAGACCACCCUACCAAGUAUUAAAAUUUGACCAAAAGCUUCAACUUGAUUAAUUUAAAUCCAUAAUAAUUAAAAUGAAACUAAUUCAUGUCAACCUAAAUUGAGACAUUAGCAGCUAAAGUGAUGAAUGCUUGGGAAAAGAGGUGAUGCCAAUAUUUCCAGAGAUAAAAAGAGAGAGUUAUUGUCUCUCUUUAAUUUUCGUUAAGUUUUUGUACUGCACAACUUGCUAGUGACGCAGCUUUUAGCCAGACUUCAAGAGGUUCGUAAAACUAGGAGAGGUAUUAUGGCACCAAGGCAAAUAUAAAAGCAGGUAAAGACUACUUCUAUAGAGAUACUAGAAAAAAAAACGAAUAUGGAAAAAGGCAAAUAUACAGAACAAACCUGACAGAAUACUGUGCUGAUGGUCAAAUACAAUGCGUAGCUGCAUGAGCAAAUAACCUUAUCAAUGAUGUGUUCUGUUUACACAGUUUAAUGGACUAUAUUUUAUCUAGUCAGGCAAAAGAAAUAAAAAAGAUAUGCUUCAAAAAAGCCUUUUCCUUUGAAUGAUAUCAGUCCAUAUCUCCAACUAAUUAACUGUUCUCAAAAGUAUGAAAGUUUCUAUAUGAUCCAAAAUAGUUUCCUGUGGUCAAAUUUCUUUAGUACAUAAUUUUAGAAGCUAAAAGAAUCAUUACUGCUGAUGGUGGGUCUUCUAGAAAUACUGGUAUGUAUAAAAGGAGAAGAAAAAAGAAAAGAUAAAUGACCUUCCCCCUAAUAUAUUACUAUUCCAGAACCAGAAAGAUAUUUUUUGCUUAGAGAUUUAUGAACUGACAAACUGAUCCCAAAAUAUUCAUAGGAUGAGACUUAAAAAGAGCAUGUAUAUGAGAAAAGGAUUAUAGAUCAUAUAAAGAGCUUUUUGCUUAUAUUACACCCCCCCCCCCUUGAGAAAAAGAAAAGAAAAAUGCUUAUGGAAUUUUAUUUUUUUAAAGCGGCUUAUGGUCAAUAAACUUAAAUUGAGGAAUGGGAGGAAUCUAACCUAUUGUGCAGAUCCUUCACUGGAAGAAUGAGAUUGAGAAGCACAGCAUCCCCAACCAGAACAUAAACAACUCCAAAACGCACAUACCACCGAAACUCACGGAUGUAACUUUUUGUUUCCAGUCCUAUCAUAAAAAGCACAGAGCACCAAGUUGUAGCCUCAAUGAUCAAAGAGGUUACCUGCAAGAGCGUAAAUUAUAAAACAUAAUAUGGUAACACCUUACCAUGACCAAAUAGAGUAAAUAAAUUGGAUGAAAUAAGCAAAUAAACUCAGCAAAAGAAACAACUGGUCUGUUUUUAAAGCUAUAAUAGUCCAACAAUUAAACUUAAAAAUACAGAAACUUACCUCAUAGGGAGCAAGGCCAGUCGUUCCGUUUAAAUUAAAGAUCGAACUACCCAUCAACAACCUUAGUAUUGGUUCAACGGUACAAUAACCAGCCAAAAAACCAAGUAUAUAGCAAUAGUAUUCUGGACUCACAGAAAACCUUUGGACUUUGGAAUUCUUCUUAAUUAGCCAUAUACGAUAACAGCACAGGCCCAGAAGAACCAAGUGAGAAAUGAAUAACACACCAGAGUCGAUAGCACAAGGUGUGUAUGCACCAAAAGCACCAUCAACUAGUUUUGUCCAAGCUUCAUUUUGCUUUGGUUGACAAUACCAAACCAAUGGUUCAAACGCCAUCACUAACCACCACUCUGAAAGACAAAAUCGAUUAGCUAUUUGUUGAACUCAUCUUCUGCUUCACGUGAUUUGAAAUGUAACAGGAAAUUUUAUGCAUAGUUAAGGACUUAAUAAAACGUCAUGUCUACAUUGAAGAAAAGAAAGCGGCACUCGUGCUUAAAAAUUAAAAAAAAAUUGUAACUGUAGACACCUAAACACGAAUAAUACAAGGAAAGAAAGAAAAAAUCCAACCAAGAUUCCAACAUAAUAAAACCACAUUUGGAAUAAAGGAAGACAUGAUCAUUUCAAUCUAUGCUAUUAAAGUGAUUAAAGAUUCAAGUUCUAUGUUUUCAAUAAUCGUCCCCAUUCAGACCAAAAAAAAUAUUUACGUCAACAAAAGUCUCAGUGGCACUUUAAACGAUUAAACUUGUUCCAGUUCUAAGCAAUAUGAAAUCCCAAAGCUCAGAAUUGUGAUUCAAGUUCCCUCUUCCUGCAGUCAGUCUGAAAAAUAACGAGAGCAACAAAGAUGGAUACCUGUAAUUGUAUGACAGGACAGUGUUGUGGUAGUUGAAAGGCUUUGAGUAGUAAAGCUAUGAGAGUUUCAAGGAAUCUAGGAUUCUGGGUUACGGUAAUUGGGAUGCAUGAUUAAUCAUGUAUAUAUAUCGUUUGACAAUAAAUCAGAGAAGAAGGAAGAGGUUGGCUGGAUUAUUUUAAAAAAUAAAACGUAGGGGAAUGGGAUGGGGAUGAUGCUGACAAAGAUACAAGACAAAGUCAAAAAUAGAUGUAGCGACAAUCAUACAUUAAAAAAAUUACAAAGUCAAAAAUAGAUGUAGCGACAAUCAUACAUUAAAAAAAUUAAUGCUCCAAUACUCACCAUUAAUUUGUAAACGUUCGGUCUUUUUUUAAUAUAACUCAUAUAUUAUAAAAUUAAUACAAGUGGUGAGUCUUUAAAUGUUAUUUAAGGGUAAAGACCAAAACUCUAUCACGGGUUUUUGGUAGAAGUCUAUGCAUCAUAUAUAAUCCGACUUUUGAUAGAGUUAAAAGAUAAAACUGACCCAAUCUGGGAAUAAUAUUAAUUUGUUAACGAAUUUAUUAGUUCUAAACGGAUGAUAUUUCAAAAAUUUUUUAAAAAAAGUUCACUUCCCUCUCAAUAAUAAUCAUUUAACUUUCUUUUUGUUUAAUUUGCUUGAAACCAGCGUGAUAGGUUGAGACCUUAUUUAGUACGCAACUAUUACAUGACUUUCAAAUGACAAGACAUUUGGUAGCCUUUAUAAAUAACAAGGUUAAGUGACUUUUUUACUUAAGUUAGGAGAUAGCUUUCACUUGUAUCUAAAUAUGUUUUAAGCAUUACUCAUCUUUUAUUCAACUUCAAUUAUUUUUGUUUCAAUUUUAUCUUCAACCAAUAAUCACAUAUUACAAGUAUAGUGUUCAUGGGUCGAGUAACCCCUCCGAAUAAGUUGGCUCAACCCAUCUUGGGUCAAGUUUGGAUAAAGAUUUUUGUCAACCAAACUUGACCUGUAUUGAAAUUAAAUUGUUUUUAAAAAAUUAUUUAAUUUUAAUUAUAAAAGUAUAUAAAUAUUAAUAUAACAUUAUAUUUUUUAAAUAUUUUUAAACAGUAAUAUUUUAUUGUUUUAUAUGUUUUAAUAUGUAAAAUAUAUUAAUAUUAAUCUUUUAUUAUGUUAAUAUUAAAAUUAUAUAUUUUAUUUUACUAAUUAUCAUAUUAAAUCAAUUACAAUUGGAUCAAAGCACUAGGAUGUUACAUUCUCUAUUACAAUUUUCACUUAUCAAAUAUUUUCUUAUAAACUUUCAUAACUUUUCAAUUUAUUCCCUUUUUGUCACAAAAGUUCAAUAUUUACUAAUUAAUCAUAUUAAAUCAAUUUUCUUUAUUGUUACACUUUAAUCACAUAAUUUAUCUUAAAAUCUUGUUUCACAUAUCAAAUUUAUAUGUAUUUCACUUAUAUCAUUUCAUCCAUAUAUUUUCUCAAGUUUAGCAAUUUAAUCCUUGCCAAUAUAAAAAUUCCAUAUUUUUCCACAAAUUCACUUUUGUUAUGAAUAUCUUAUCCUUCCUCAAAAUUCCAACGAUUUCCAAAUACAUUAAAAGGACUAUUGGUAGUCCUUUAGUUAAGGAAUUUAUGCCCGACGGAGAUGUUGUCCUCACUCUUCUUCAGCAGAAUCUGUCUAAAACACAAGCUCAAAUGAAACGUGCGGCUAACACACACCGCCGUGAGGUGGUUUUCCAGGAAGGAGAUUGGGUUUAUGUCAAACUCCAACCCUUUCGUCAAAACUCAGUGCGCCUCCAGCGACAUUGUUGAGUUUUUAAUCAAUAACUAAAGAUCAAAAACAAAGUUUAAUGUUUGAAAGGUGAAAAAACACAAGCAAAAAGAAUGUUGGAUGAUGAAGAUGAAAGAUUUUCUUCAUUACUUGAAUAAGUACAAAGACCACAUACAUAAGUAGCUCAAAUUACAUUGGUUAAAGACAAAGCUUGCUUGUGCAAGUAUCUAAGCUGUUAAAUCAACUUAAUGACAAUUUAAAUGACUACUAAAUCAGCUAAGCACAUGAUUAAACUUCAGUUGAUCAAACAAAAAUGAUUACAACACAAACUAGCAAAAGUCAACUAUGCAAAAGCUCACCAUGGAUAUUAGCAUGCUUCUGUUGUUUUCCUGGUUAUUUGCAUGCUGAUGCUGAGUAGCUUAGAUGCUUGCAUGCUACUGCUAUGUUGCCACCUUUUAACACCCAUCCUUGGUACAAAGCAAUAAACUUUAAUUUCCUUCUUCAGAUACUUGAAUCUUGUAGCAGCUAGUGGCUUGGUCAGAAUGUCUACAACUAAACCUUCGAGCAGUAAUGAAUCAAGUUGACUUCUUUUGGCAAUUCUGCCUCCCUCACAAAGUGAUAUUUAAUCUUGAAAUGAUUGGUCUUGCUAUGAAAAAUAGGACUCUUGCCAAUAGCAACAGCUGACUGAUUAUCCACUUUAAUUUAUGUUGCAUCCUCUUGUUCAGCAUUCAAGUCACACAGCAGCUUCCUAAGCCCAAUGGCUUGAUUUACAGUAGACGCAGUUGCAAUAUACUCUGCCUCAGUAGUGGAUUGAGCUACUGUCUGUUUCUUCUUAGAACUCCAACUAAAAACUCCUGAACCAAGAGUGAAAAAUAGCCCGAUAUGCUCUUCAUGUCAUCAGCUGAGCCAACCCAGUCACUGUCUGAAUAACCAACCAGCUUCAGCUUCUCAGCUCUUUCAAACUUCACUCCACGGCUUAAAGUCCCUUUAACAUACUUUAGGACUCUUUUAGCAGCUUUAAAAUUAUCUACACUGCAACAAUGCAUAAACCUCGAUAGAAGGCCAACUGCAUACAUGAUGUCUGGCAUUGUUACAGUCAAGUAAAGUAGGCAACCAACCAAACUUCUAUAGUUCUUUUCAUCUACACGAUCUUGAUCACUAUAGCUUGAGAGCUUUUCUUUUAGUGCCACAGGAGUGUUAGCAGGCUUGCAGUUUGUCAUGCAAAACUUGCUCAAAACCUUCAAUGCAAAAGUUUGAUGGCUUAUGAAAAUACCAAGCUCACUUUGAUUCACUUCCAUACCAAGGAAGUAAGUCAUUAACCCUAAAUCAGUCAUCUCAAAAACAUCUUGCAUCUGCUUCUUGAAUUCUUCAAUCAACUUACUUUUACAACCAGUAACCAAUAAGCCAUCCACAUACAAGGACACAAUUAGCAAGGUUUCCUUUUCAGCCUUCUUCACAUAGAGUGUAGGCUCACUAAUGCUUUUCUCGAACCUCAGCCUUGACAAAUAUGCAUCGAUCCUGUCAUACCAGGCCCUUGGAGCCUGUUUCAGGCCAUACAAAACCUUUUUGAGCUUGGAGACCUUAUGUUCUUCACCAGGGGCCUUAAAUCCAUCAGGUUGCUCAAUAAAGAUCUCUUCCUUGAGAAAUCUACUCAGAAAGGCUAAUUUAACAUCCAGUUGAUGUACUUUCCACUGCUUCUGAGCAGCGAAGGCAAACAACAGCCUUAUGGUGUCCAGCCUUACAACUAGUGAAAAGGUUUCAAAGAAGUCGAUGCCUUGCUGCUGACUGUACCCCUUUCACAACUAGCCUAGCCUUAUGAUUGGUCAGUGACCCAUCUGCAUUUUGUUUGGUCCUGAACACCCAUUUUACACUAAUUACUCUUCUGUUUGUUGGUCUAUCAACUAGCUCUCAUGUGUCAUUUUUGUGGAUCAUCCUCAAUUCUGCCUCCAUUACUUCUUUCCAACAGCUCUCUUUUGCAGCCUCAUCAAAGCAACAAGGUUCUACAAUGGACAUACCACACAUUUUAUAGAAGUCCAUUAAGGUGCUAGUGCCUCUGACAGGUGCAUUAUCAUAAUCAGUCUCAACUUCAGUCUCAAUUUCAACAUGUUGCAAAUCGAGAUCAUGCUCAUCUUGCUUAGACAGGCUUGCAUCUAUUCCAUCCCAUUUCCAACAGCUCCCUUCAUUGAACUUUACAUCUCUACUCACAACAAUCUUCUUAGUAGAUGGAUCAAAAAUCCUGUAACCCUUUUUCACACUACUGUAGCCAACAAAAACUCCAGGUAUAGACCUUUUUUCCAGUUUGGUUCUCUUCUCAGCUGGCACUAGUGUAUAACAUAAACAGCCAAACACUUUCAAGUCUGACAUAGUUGGCUUAUGUCCAAACCAAGCUUCAAAAGGUGUCUUGCCUUUGACUGCAUUAGUUGGUAGUCUGUUUAGCAAAUACACAGAGGUAUUUAUUGCCUCAGCCCAAAAAGUGUUAAGCAUUUUACCUUCAAACAGCAAGCACUUGGCCAUAUCAAGAACAGUCAUGUUCUUUCUUUCAUAAACACCAUUCUACUGUGGUGUGUAGAUAGUGGUUAAUUGGUGUUGAAUUCCAGCUUCUUCACAGAUCUUUUGGAACUUUUGAGACACAUACUCAGUUCCAUUGUCUGAUCUCAAAAUCUUCAACUUACAAAUGGCUUGAUUCUCAGCCAGUGCUUUGAACUUGUAAAAGAAGUCAGCCACAUCUGACUUUUACUUUAAAAAGGUCACCCAACAAAACCUAGUGAAAUUAUCAAUGAACAAUGCAAAAUACUUGCUGCCAUUUAAGGAGGUAGUAUUCAUGGGUCCACAGAUGUCAGUAUGAACCAGUUGGAGCCUCUUGAUUAAAUGCCAAAGUUACAUAUUUUAUGUAGUUAAAUUGGUUACUUUAUGAGAGUGCACCACUAAUUUUUCUAUGUUUUUGUUGAAUUUUGUGCAGGGGUGCAAUUUGGGUAUAAAUAGAAGAAAAAGGAAACAAUUGGGCUAGAUUGAAGAAAGAAGCAAAGAAUGAGGGCCAAAGCAGAAUUUUUCCAAGAAUAAUUAGCUGAAAUUGUUGACUUAGUGGGAGAUUAUUUUGGGAUAUUUUUUAUAUUAUGGAAUAUUUUCCUUGAUUUUCUAUACUAGUUGGCUCUUAAUUUAGCAAGGCCACUAGUAUAAAUAGAGGCUACAUUGUUCAUUUUAAUCAUCAAUCAAAAUAUUAAGCUUUCAUCUUUCAAUACAUUUUCUCUCUUCUUGUCACGAAUUCAUUUGUUGCCUUUAGUUUCUUUUCCUUCAAUUUAUUAAUUCCUAGUAGCCACCAAAUUAAGCCAUUUGCAAUUCCUUUUUCAAAUGCCAUUGCCGGGGACUAGCAACACUUACAAUUGUUCUUGAGAAGCCCAGAAUUUGAAUAACUGGUCAUCGAGCUAACGACGUUAAACAAAGCGCUGUUGGGAGGCAACCCAAAUUUUAUUUUCCUUUAUGCAAAUAAAAUUUUUGGUAAAAUGAAAAAUGAAAAUGCAUGUCAAUGAUUAGUUCUGUCUAAGGAAAGACUUGGUACUUAAGAAUGUCCAUUGUGACUCACCUCUCUUUCCUGAGGACUUACUUGGUGCAUUUAUCACGAUUGUUUUACCAAAUCUCGUAAUCUUGGUUUUUAAUAAUUUAUUUCUCGAGUUUAUAGCUUAGCUAAUAAAUUUGAAAAAAAAAUUAAUUUUCCUAUUAUUAUUAUUUAUUUUUACUAUUUUAUUUUAUUUUCAUUUUUAUUUUUAUUUUUGCAGGAAAAUAUUCCAAGACAAAAUUAAAUUCCACAUGUCAACCUACAAAAUUCUUUUUAUUUCAGCCAAGGCCCACUCUAUCUACGAGACAUCCUCCACGAUGUUGAAAUAUAUGGGGAGGUUCUUUUUCUUUCAUUCUCCUACUUAUCUUUACUUUUAUUUUUUAAAUUACAUUAGGACAAUGUAAAAUAAGUAGGGGAGGGAAAUAUAAAUUGGUUCUAAUUUGCUUAUCUGUCAUCGCUAUUUUUGCAUGUUUUCGGUAAAAGGUAAAAUUUUUCUUUUGAUAAAUUGGGAUGGUACACUUAUGGUUUGACCUAUUUAACUAUUUAGUUAUUUACACAUAAAUUUUUCAAUAACCUAAACUUUGUGGGUAAGAAAUUUUUGGGAAUUAUGAGUUUGCUUGACUGCCUACUUUUUAUCAUAUGUCAAAUUUUUGAAUGCAAAAAAAAAUACUCCUUUGAUACGAAUGUUAAGAGUGAAAAAUUGGGGUUGUACAUCGGGCUGAGUAACUUGAACAUGGUGCUUGGGUUGUCAUUACAUCUCGCGUAAAAAGAUUUGUAUGACUGUCUAAUUUCUUUGUACUCACUCCGCUAACAAGCUAUCACGAGUAAGGCGAAAUAAUCCGCUUAGAGACGUCCGAAUUGAGUAACCGGAACAUGGUGCUUGGGUUGUCAUUAUGUCUCGCGUAAAAAAAAUUCGAAAAUGUCCUAAGUACACAAAAAAAUUUUAUAUUAAAUAAAAUAAAAAAUAAAUUAGGGGUAGGCCUAUCAAGCUCUAAUAAUUCUGAAAUAUAUUUACUUACUUCUUAGGCUAGGUUAUUUGAGAUGUUAAUGUUCUAGGAUUAAAUUGUUGAAUUGUGCAAACCAUGGGGGUCAAGUCCUAUUUUGGAGAACAUUUUUCCUUUUGCAGAUUCCUACAAAAUGCUCGAGGACUAGCAUAAGCUAAGUAGGGGGAUUUGAUUAAAUGCCAAAGUUACAUAUUUUAUGUAAUUAAAUUGGUUAAUUUAUGAGAGUGCGCCACUAAUUUUUCCAUGUUUUUGCUGAAUUUUGUGUAGGGGUGCAAUUUGGGGAUAAAUAGAAGAAAAAAAACAAUUGGGCUAGAUUGAAGAAAGAGCAAAGAAGGAGGGCCAAAGCAGAAUUUUUCCAAGAAUAAUUAGCUGAAAUUGUUGACUUAGUGGGAGAUUAUUUUGGGAUAUUUUUUCUAUUAUGGAAUAUUUUCCUUGAUUUUCUAUACUAGUUUGCUUUUAAUUUAGCAAGACCACUAGUAUAAAUAGAGGCUACAUUGCUCAUUUUAAUCAUCAAUCAAAAUAUUAAGCUUUCAUCUUUCAAUACAUUUUCUCUCUUCUUGUCACGAAUUCAUUUGCUGCCUUUAGUUUCUUUUCCUUCAAUUUAUUAAUUCCUAACAGCCACCAAAUUAAGCCAUUUGCAAUUCCUUUUUCAAAUUCCCUUCUUUAUUUUCAGUAGCUUUCCACCCAUUUUACCUUAUUUAAUUAUUCCAAUACCAAUAUGCCCCAAACAUUAGCCAACUAAACCCAUUUUCAGCUUUAGGCCGGAAUUAGCCUCGUCAAAACCCGUGAGUUACGAACCCGAACAAUUUAACUCAUAAAGUUUCAGUACUUAUUACUUCUCCGAAUUAAGAGUAUGAUUUUGCCAACUCACAAAGUCAAAUCAACAUUAAUUCAAAAAAGACGUCGUUUGAUUUAGUGUGGUUAGACGUACAGUUGGAAUUUCGAAAGGAAUGUUUCUAAUUGGUUUUCUGUGAACACAUUGGCGUGCCAAGUGGAGAUUGCUGUUUGGUUCCGUCAAGGGAAGUAGUAACCGGAUUUAAAUAUCCCACGCGGUUGAGGGCAUUGGUUCGAGCUAGGCUCUUCUAGAACACAAAGCUGUCGGAGUUCUAAAUCACGAACGUUUCGUGGUUGUUCGAUCGGUAAGGGUUAGUUAUUGGACGUUCCAUAACUAAUUUACAAAAGGAAGAGUUGGUGUCCAAGGCGUUCUUGGUAGCUAUAACUAGCUUAUUGGAAAAGAGGAGUUCAUCCAAUUUCGAGGAUCGGUUCAAAGACGAGGAAAAUUCGUGCCUAAAGCUGAACUUAUUCUAAUUAAUUUUUCUUAAUAUUUAUUUCACUGUUUUUAUUAUUCUGUUUUCAACUUUUUCUUUUCACGCAUUUUAUUUAUUUUCAGGACUUCAGAUUUUAUCCCCCCGAAUUUCUUGGGCACGACAGCUGCCCCUACAUAAAUCUGGUCAAGAGAGCAACAAUUUAUUGUAAACCAGUCUCUGAGGGAUCAACCCUACUCCCUAUACUGCAUAAUUUGCAAUUUAAGGCGUAGGUUUAUAUUGGUGGAUUCGACACCCAUCACCUCUCUUGAGCUCUCCAAGCCUUGUUUAUAGGAAAAAGGCAGUCUGGUUUGCUUACCAAACUGACAGGCUUCACACACAUCAGUUUUAGGCUCGAUCUUGGACAUGUCCUAGACUAGGCUCAUCUUGUGCAACAAACCCUAUGACUUAUAGUUCAGAUGCCCCAACCUCUUGUGCCACAAACUUGAUUCAUUGCCAAGGCUAUAUGUGCCUUUGUUUCUAACAGAUUCACAUCUAAAAUGAAAUAUCUAUCAUGCAUGGCUACUGUUACUAACACUUGAUCAAAGGAAUCUUUGAUUACAUAAGUGUUUUCUUCAAAUAUAAGAGAGUACCCCUUCUCCAAUAGCUGACCAACACUUAGCAAAUUUUGAUCAAUGUCAGGUACAAAAAGAACUUCUGAAAUGGUUUUGUUACCUGACUAAGUGCAGAUCACAGCUUUCCUUUGCCUUUGGCCUCGAUGAACUCUCUAUUCCCAAUUCUGGCUUUGGACACAAAGUUGGUGUCUAGCUCCUUAAACAUGCUUUUAUCUGGAGUCAUGUGAUGAGUGCAGCCACUGCCAAUUAGCCAAUCUUUUCUGACUUUGCUCGAACUUGCAAAGUAGGAGGCAGUAAAGACAUGCUCCUCUUAAGACUGUACAUCUUCAAUAGCUUGAGCUUGAUUUUGUUGUUAUGUUUGUGUCUUUGCCUUGUUCUUGUAAACUUUUUCAAUGUGGCCUAGUUGCUUGUAACUCCUACAUAGAAUAUCUGGCCUGUACCAGCAAUAUUUUUCUAAGUGAGUGGUCUUUUUACAAUGAGAGCAUGGUGGAAACUUCCUUUUAGCAGCAUCCUUCUUUCCUUUUUCUUUCUUUUCUGUCCAAGGCUUCUUGCAUUUGUAAUUUAACUCAAGCUUGAACUUUCUCUAUUCUUAGCCUGAAAAGCUCCUUCAGAAUGCUCCUCCAUUCUAUUUGCUCUUCUCUGCUCUUGUGCAUAGAGAGCAUUUAUUAGCUUUGUCAAGAGAAUAGCUGAUAGGUCCCUCGAGUCUUCCAAAGAAGAGAUUUUUGACUCAUACUUCUCUAGUAGAGUUGUUAUGACUUUUUCAACUAUCCUCUUGUCACUAAACUCAUCUUCAAGCAAUCUUAGGUUAUUGACUGUGGCCAUAAUCCUGUUAGCAUACUGUUUGAUGGUCUCAGACUCCUUCAUCCUCAGAUUCUCAAAGUCCCUUCUCAAGUUAAUCAGCUGUUGUUGCCUGGUCUUGUUUGACCCCUGAAACUCUUCUUUGAGUCUGUCUCAGGCCUGCUUUGGAGUGUCACAAGUCAUUAUUCUUGUGAAGAUCACAUCAGAAACUCCAUUUUGAAGGUUUGAAAUAGCCUUAUACUUUUUGGCACAGUCCUCAUUGUGCUGUCUGAUUUGAGCUAUUGUUGGAUUAGCUCUCAGAGGUGGUGGCUCUGUGUCAAUUUGAACAACACUCCACAGGUCAUGAACCUGUAGAUAUGUCUUCAUUUUUACAGCCCAAAUGUUGUAGUUUUCGCCAGCAAAGACAGGUGGAGAUGGUGGUGAAAAACUCAUCAUUUUGCAGUAACUAUACAAACCAACAAAGACAACUUCUAUUUCUUUUCUUUCAGGCACGAAUCACUUACACAAACCAAUACACAGCAAAGGCCCUCAAAGAAGACAGGCUAUCGAUACCAUUUGUUGAGUUUUUAAUCAAUAACUAAAGAUCAAAAAUAAAGUUUCAUAUUUGAAGGUUGAAAAAACAGAAGAAAAAGGAAUGCUGGAUGAUGAAGAUGAAAGAUUUUCUUCAUUACUUGAAUAAUUACAAAGACCAUAUACAUAAGUAGCUCAAAUUACAUUGGUUAAAGACAAAGCUUGCUUGUGCAAGUAUCUAAGUUGUUAAAUCAACUUAAUGACAAUCUAAAUAACUACUAAAUCAGCAAAGCACAUGAUUAAACCUUAGCUGAUCAAACAAAAAUUAUUACAACACAAACUAGCAAAAGUCAACUAUGCAAAAGCUCUACAGUCGAAUUACACCAUGGACAUUAGCAUGCUUCUGUUGUUUUCCUAGUUAUUUACAUGCCGAUGCUAAGUAGCUUAGAUGCUUGCAUGCUGCUGCUAUGUUGCCACAUUUUAACAGACAUCACAAACUUGGUAGGAGAUUAUUUGGUCCCUUUAAGGUCCUACACUGUAUGGGGUAAGAGGCUUACAAGUUGGAUUUACCCACCACAGCCAGCAUUCACCCUAUCUUUUAUGUGUUCCUCUUUCGAAAAUGCAUCGACAACCUGGAACACUAGGUCACCCCACUACAUCUUGUGGACGAUACCAACACAAUGAUUUUGAAACCUGUAGCGAUUUUGGAUAAAAGAGUCAUCGACUGAUCUGGCUAUUUGAUUAACCAGUUACUUAUUUAGUGGGAUGGUCUUCCCCCUAUAGUAGCUACUUGGGAAGCUAAGGACCACAUCCUAAAGUGUUUCCCUGACUGGAACCUUGAGGACAAGGUUCUUUCGAAACAGAGAGUUACUGUUAUGAUCGAGCCCCACGAGGAGUUGCCUACUGCCUCAAUAAUUCCAUGAGAAGAUCAACCAGAACCCAUUAACCAGGGCAUGGACCAGCAAAAACUAGGGAGACAUUCACGCAAAGGAAGUUUCCAAAAAAAUAUGUUGAUUUUGUCAUUUAGUUUCAUGUCAACAUCAUAAUAGCGGUUUGGGAGGCUAUAAGAUGACAGAGAAAAUUUCUAGUUGGUAUGUUAUUGUUAUCUUGGAAAUCUAAUUUCUGAUUCCUCUUAUCCAUAUUAUUAUGAAUAUUGGCUAAGUUUUUCUAAUAUUUAUAGUUGAGCACGAAUAUCAUACACUAUUCUAUUGAUAUUAUCACACUUUUGUAUCCUUUGUUCUAUCUAUAUAGGCACAUUACACCAUAUCAAACUUGAAUAUCUAAAUUUUAUAUGAGUUAAUUUAAUAGAAUCAAAUAAAUUUUAGGAUUAAAUUGAAACAAAAAUAAAAACCAUAUGAUAGUAAUAAUGAGGAACUUAAAAUUUUGCUUAACACAAGUAACUAUGUAAUAUUUCUAAAAAUUAGCACACAAAUUAAAAAAAAAUUACAAUUAUUUAAUAUCAUUUACUAAAUUUUAAUUGUUGGCAACAACUUUUUCCAAAUUUAUCUACAUAAAAACCAUUCUCUAUUUUAUCUCAAUUUACAAUUCUUCCACCGAAGAAGAAUUUUGUUCCCAUGAAGAUUAAAAGUUCAAAGUAAGUUUUCUCAAUAGCUAACUCACACAUAUAUCUUUUAAUUUUUGUUAUUACAUUUAACUAGUUUUUAUUUAUAUAUUUAUUUAUUUAUAUUUCCAAUUUUUUGCGUUAAUACUUUUGUUCAAUUUAAUUUUUAUUACUCUAUUUUUUUGAACUUUUUUAGUGUGACUUUAACAGAAUAUUGAAAUCAAUUAGAUUAACUUGACACCCAACUUUUAAAAGGUAAAAGUGAAAAAUAUUGGUAGUUGUAGAAAUAUUGCUAUUUGUUUUAUGGUUGAAGCAGAACUUUGGGCUAUUAUGGGUUAGAUAUAGCAUGGAGGAGAGGAAUAAAAUAACUAUUAGUGGAGAGUGACAGUUUAGUUGUAGUAAAUACAAUUUGUGGUCAAUCUGAGGAGGUUGGAUCGAACUUAGUGCGAAUUAUCAGAGAAUAACUAACAAGGGAUUGGCGCAUAAAAGCAUCAUAUACUCCAUGAUCAGCGAACAUGAUUGCAGAUUCUUUGGUAAAGUUAAGUAAGAAUGAUUCUAUUGGCCUGAAAAUUUAUGAGUAUCCUCCUAAUCAGAUUGGUAGGGGUGUGUUACAAGAAAGCAUUGGUGACCACUACAAGUUUAAUCAUGGCUAGUUGUAAUUAACUUCUUUAUUUACAAAAGAAGAAGAAGGUAAAAGUGAAAAAUUACAGCUACAAUACAAAAAAAUAAAUGCUAACCAAUCUAUAGGAAUAAAAGAGAUAUUAACCAAUUUAUUUUGUUGAUUAGUUUCUUUUAAAUAUGUUACACCUAAUAUUCACUAUUAAUUUUUUUAAAGAAAUUAUAUUUCCAUUUUGAUUAUUCUUUAAAAAAAACCUUAUUAAUUACUUAGGUAGUUUUCUAAGAAAUCAAUUUUAAUAAACUCCUAAAUUAUACUAUAAAUACUUUGUUUAACUCAUAGAAAUUUAAGCAACUUCGGUAAGUCCUAAAAAUUAUACAUUCUUUACUGGGUAAAUUAUAAAAAAAGGAAAUCCUAAAAAUUAUACAUUCUUUACUGGGUAAAUUAUAAAAAAAAGUCACUUUUAGUCAGUUAUGUUUGGAAUGUUACGUUUUAAUCACUUAUGUUAUUUUUUUGUUACGAAAUGGUCACUCUACCGUUAAACUCCGUUACCUCCCUAACGACGGUACUAGGUGGCAGUCCAAAUGAGUUUUAAAUGCCAACUCGGAUGUCCAAUUAUUGGUAUGAAAAUAGGUUUUUAAUUAAAUAAAUUUAAUUUGGACUACCACGUAAGACAUCCAAGUUGGCAGUUAAAACCCAUUUAGCUUAACGGUAGAGUGACCACUUUGUAACAAAACGUUAACGUAAGUGACUAAAACGUAACAUUUCAAACAUAAGUGACUAAAAUGUAAUCUGAGGCAAACAAAAGUGACUAUUUUUGUAGUUUACCCUUCUUUACUCGAUAUUAAGGCAAAUUAUCAAGAUUUAAUAUCAUUUUUUUAUUGUGAAAUGUUAUGCCAUUAUUGCAUUUUGUGGAAAUAUUUUAAUUAAUUUAAUUUUUGGAGGGUAAAUAAAGGAAAUAGAAACUAUUAGAAACAUCUCAUUCAAUCCUUGUCAAUCCCUCUAAAUCAUCAUGAAUCAACUUCAAAACAUGAGAAGUUGGCUGUAAGAAUUUGUAAAAACCUAGCUCCCAUAUAAGGGCUUGUUUAGCAAAAGCAACUGCAACCCUAUUACCUUUCCUGUUGACAUGUUGUAUCUUCACUUCGUAUUAGUUCUGAAUCAAUUAUUUAACAUCUCAAGUCAUUGCAUAUCGAGAUACAUCUGAUAAUUAAUUAAUUUACUUUGACUAUGACAAUUUGCAACAAAAAAUUUAAAAAUUGUGUUAUGAAUAAAAUCCACCUUCAUAAUAUUUAUUUCAUUUACGUUACCUUAAAAAAAGUUACCACAUUUAUAACACUUAUUUAAGAAAUAAAUUACAACUCUUAUUGUUGUCUUUGAUGACGAAAGCAUUGAUUCAGAAUUGAAUAACUUGUUUAUCGUGCUUAUCCCUAAAAUUCAAAAUCUUGAGGGCUCCGCUCACUUUCAACCUAUUAGUUUAUGUUCUGUCCUUUACAAACUGGUUAUGAAGGUAAUUGCAAAUAAGCUUAAGGUGAUCUUUUCGAGAAUUAUAGCUCCCAAACAGACUGGUUUUGUAGCAGGACAAGACAUCACGGAUAACAUCAUCAUUGCACAAAAGGUUAUACACUCUAUGAGGAGUACGGAGAGGAACAUGAGAUGGAUGGCCAUAAAAACUAAUCUAGAGAAAGCUUAGAUGAGAUAUGAUGACGCGUCGCUUCAAGCUGCAAAUGUUCCUAAUUUCAUUUGUAAUGUUAUUACGUCUGUAAUUUCUAGCUCUACUAUGCAGGUUUUGUGGAAUGGGAUUCCAACUUCUAAAUUUCGGCCAAUUAGGGGCAUUUGCCAGGGAUGUCAUUUAUCUCCUUAUUUGUUUAUCUUGUGCAUGGAGUGGUUGGGCCAUAGAAUCUGUAUUGCUAUUGAUGCCGGUAAUUGGUCCCCUAUUCGAUUGGCUCGUAAUGGUCCACCACUAUCACAUCUAUUUUUCGCAUAUAACUUGAUUCUUUUUGGCCAAGCUGAGAAAUAUCAAGCUCAGGUAAUAAAAGACAUUCUUGAUUAGUUCUGUAGUUACUCAGAACACAAGACUAAAAUGAGGAAAACGAAUAUUUUUUUAGAGGGGUUGACGGCAGUGUAGGGAGGAGUAUUAGUAGAUUUUUUGGUUUUCAGGAGGUGAGUAACUUGGGAACGUAUCUAGGUAUGCCUUUUCCAUGAGAAGGUUACCAAUAAUACGUUACGCUUUGUGGUUGAUAAGGUGCGUAGUAAGUUGUCUAGUUGGGAUGCAAGACAGCUCUCUUUAGUUGGAAGGUGACCUUAGCUCAAUCAGUUCUGCUUUCAAUUCCAAGCUAUUUUAUGCAGACGAUGAUGGUCCCCAAAGGCCUAUGUGAAGAGAUUGAGCGCAUUGUAUGGAAAUUUGUUUAGGGAUCUUCUAGUGGCAGUGCAAAGAUGGCCUUAGUAAGUUGGGAUUUGAUGCGUCAACCGAAAACUCAUGGUGGUCUUGGCCUAAGGUGCUUGAAAGAUCACAAUACCUCUUUAUGAUGAAGGUUGGUUUCAAUGUUAUAUUAAACGGUGAUGCCCUUUGGGUUUGGGUCCUUCAAUCAAAGUACAGGGUUUCUAAUAAAUUGCCUAAGAAUUUAGCACGGGGAAGCUGCUCUUUUUUUAUGGAAAUCUAUUUCUAAGGUAUGGCCUUUUAUUCGCGAAAACCUUUUAUGGUAUGUCGAAAAUGGAAAUAGUAUUCAAUGUUGGCACGAAUGACCCUUGGAUUUCAAACUGUGGUCAUUUAUUUGUACAGAUUCCAUCUCUUUCUAACAUUAAUAUGGAUUGUCCUCUUAGUAGUAUGGUUGCAAGUGACGGAUCAUGGAAUUUGGACAUUUUCAGACUAUGGGUCUCAGAAGAGAUCAUUAACGAAAUUACAGGUGUUCCACCACCAUACCCCUCUUCAGGUCAUGAUAAAAUAACUUGGAGAGCUACUUCGACUAGUUCUUUUUCUCUUAAAAGUGCUUAUGAGAAUAUUCGAUAAGGUACAUUGAAUUCAAAAGAUCAGAUUUGGGAGAUACCUUGAAAAUUUAAAAGCCCUCAAUAGAUUUAUUUCUUUUUAUGGCUCACACUCAAGCAACGCCUACAUACGAAGGCUGAAAGAGUAAGGCGAGGCAUUGGGAGUAGCAGCGCUUGUGGGUUUUAUGGGCAGGGUUAUGAGGAUAUGUUGCAUGUACUUAGAGAUUGCCUUGCUGCUAGAACUAUUUGGGAUAAACUCAUUCUAGAAGACAGACUUUCUAGGUUUUACACCAGUUCCCUCUCUAUUUGGAUGAUAGAAAACCUUCAGAAUCAUCUCAACAUUUCUUUGGAUGGGGUGGAUUGGCCAUACCUCUUUGGGAUCAUUGCUUGGCGUAUUUGGAAGAACCAGAACUUGCUUACCUUUCAAGGCAUUUCUUGAAGUAAUUAUGAGAUUAUUAAAAUUUCGUUUAGUUGGGCAAAGCAAUACAUUUUAAUCUCCAAAAAAGUACUUCAUAAGCCUUACAGUUAUCUCCACUCUUCACAUUUAGCUAGUAGUUGGGUUUGUUUGAGAACAGAUGGUUCGAUUAGGUGUGACAAGGUUUUGCAACAGCUGAAGGUUAUAUAUGUGAUCAUAAUGGUGGGUGGAUCAUUGGGUUCUGCCGAUAUUUGGGUAAUUGCACAGUGACAGAGGCUGAGCUUUAGGGGAUCUUGGAUGGGUUAAUUCUUGUUUUGGAAAGACGAUUCGAUAGGGUCUCAAUCCAAACUGACAGUAUUGAGGCCGUUAACAUUAUUCAAGAUUACUCUUCUGGAAACUCUAAUUCUACCCUAAUCAAGAGAAUACUUCAAGUCCUAAAUAUGUUUAAGCAAUGGAAGAUUCAACAUUUGCAUAGAGAAGAGAACUCAAUUGCAGAUAGUUUGGCUAAGUCAGUUUGCACUAGAAGCCUCGGUUUAAGAUUGUUUGAGCAUCCUCAUUUGUUGAUCUAGUUUAAUUACUUUGUAAUUUUAAUUUUUCACAAAAAAAAAUUACAACUCUUAUUAUUCUACCAAAAAACAAAAUACUAUAUAUACCUUAUUCACCAAGCAUUUAAUCCUUCAAAAUUUUCAUCAAGAAAAUAUAUUUUAAAUGUCUGCAAGUAACAUUAUCAUACCUAUGCAAAAUUAACAUGCUUUUACAUCAUUUCAUAAUUUUUUCUACGAUUAAUAUUUUAAUAAUUCAAUUGUUAGAUUUAAUAAUAUAAUUUUAUUUUUCAUGCAUUUAAAAUUUAAAAUUAUCCAAUAUCUCUUUUAUUUUGACUUAAAAUAUUGUUUAUAUAAUAUAUAUUUAACAUUUGAAAAGAAAAUUUUGUAUAAAACAAAUAGUUAAAAAUUUUUCUUUACUCCAAACACUUAACAUGCAUUAUUUACGUGAAUAGAACAUGAAAUUCACGGGUUGAAUUGUUAAAAUAUCAAUUGUAAAAAAAGAUAUGAAAUGAUAUAAAACCAUGUUAGUUAGUGUAAGUAGAUUCCUCUAUAUAUAUGUUAUAAGGUUUCAAGCUUCCGGUUGACAUGGAGCCUAACCUUUUGGGUGUACUUUAACAUCAAUAAAUAUAUAUUUUAAAAUUAUAUAUAUUUAUAUCAAUAAUUUUGAUUAAUAUAUGGUUAUUUAAAUAAUAACAAUCUUAUAAAACAUAGAGUAAUCUGUAGAUGGCAUAGGAAACAAAUGAAUUAUUCUUUAAUUAAGAAAUUCAAAUACCAAAAUUUAGUGAUUGAUAUCAAUCAAUUCAGCUAUAAUUCAAGACUUCUUUACUCAAUAGAUCUUGCAUGCAAUAUAAAACUAGUCCUACUUUGAUUUCUUUGCAUUUCAAAAAAAAACUUUUGAUUUCUAAGUAUUUUUUAUAUCAAUAAUUUUUCCCAGUUCUAAAUUUUCCAUGAUAUGUUUUGAAUUUAUUUACAUAUCAAUUGUUUUGACAACUAUUUUUUUCCUACUCAAUAUUUUUGAAAUAUACAAACUUAACAAUGCUUUUUGAAAACAUGAUUUCAGUAUCACGUUUUAAUUCAUUUUUUAAAAGAAAAUGUUUUUUUUUAAUAUUAAUCUUACAAAUUUUUUAAAUUUAAAAAGCAAUUUUUACAAUAAAAAUCCUUUUUUUUCUCAAAAAGCCUAAAAUUUCAAGGUUGUACAAAUGAAUAAAAGAAGGGAAAACUUUCAAAGAUCACAGUCUAUUUAAAUUUGUCUAUAAAUAUAAAUUUUAAAAAAGUACUGUAAAUAUCCAUAUUCAUAAAUAAAAUUCAUAUUUCUUUUCUUUGUUUUUCUCUCGUUCUUUUUCUCUUUAUUCUUUAUUGUAUAAUUUUUUUUGUUUAUCAUAAGUUUUUCUUAAAUAUUAAAAAAAUAUUUUAUAAAAAAAUAUUUAAAGCAAAAUCCUAAUAAAUGUCAAUAUAAAAAAGAGAGAUGUUUAUAAGGAUAAAAUGGUAAAUAUAAAUUUCUUUUUUUUUUUUCUACUUUCAACUUUACCAAGAGAGAGAACGUUAAUAAUCAACUUACAAAUUAUAUUAAUAAUUUAAAAAGCAUUUAAAUUUUAUAUUUUUAUCAGUAUAUUAAAUUAUAUAGAUAUCAUUUAAGGUUUUUUUUUUUUUUUUUUUUUUGUGCUUUCCAUCAUCCAACAACAAAACCCAACACUUGAAUUACCAGAACUCUCUUUUUUCCAGCACUUUUCAAAACUUUAUUUUUUCUAAAACAAUUUUUAGACUGCUAAACCUAAAUCAUCAAAGUGCUUUAGUUUCUCAUCUUGUUGAUUCUAUUCUCUUUCUUUUUCUUUAUCAAUCAACUGACCCAAGUCUUCUUGGGAUCCAGAAUUCUGAUGCAAAGUUAAACCUUAAGUAUUGGAAUUUCCACUCCAUAUUAUAUUUACACCAAAAUCACAGCUGAAACUAAUGAAAUUUUCAGGAUAAAUCUAACCUCAAAGACAAUAGUACCCUGGUUCUUAUUAUGCACAUCUUUAGGUAAGCUACAAAGCAACACAAGUUUAUUUCCCAGAAAACAUAGAACCAAUAGAGGAAAAUAGCUGAGAAAGAGUGAACAGAUGGGCCCUGUGUCUGAGGAAGGAAUUUAUCAUAUACCUGGAUCGAGGGAUUUCACUGACAACUGGACACAUGUAUCUCAAACAUCAACAACAACAGAAAACGCUGUGCAGCAUGAAUAUUCACAACAGAAAAGAAGGAAAGCUUGUUUUAGGCAAGAAAAUAUUAAGAACAGCAACCAAUCUCAACAAAAACAAUAUAUUUUGUUUUUUUUAACAAUUGGAAUGGAGUUUUUUUUAAGGGUUUGACAUAGACUCGGGAACUCAGUUUAACAACCAACCCACCAAAGAAGGGCAAAAACCCACCAAUAGGAUAUGAAAAUAACAGAGGAAAUACUCACGGUAAGACGAGUUUAUUUAUACAUGGGAGUGCUGAGGUAGAAGUAUGUACGACAUUAUCCCAAUAGAAAAUACUGUUCUAUUAUUGAGCCUAAAUGACCCAAACCCAAGUGCAUUUUUCCUGUAAAAAUCCCAUUACUGUGUUUUCACAGGAAUUGAAUUACGAUGCUUAAAAUUUGGAAUAAAAUUUUGGUGUUGACAGCCAACUGUUUGCGACUGACUUGACUAGUUGCAAGUGUGAGGAUAUCAGAUAUGACACCGGCAAUUUAAUAUCAGUGUCAGCAGGAUGUAGAUGUCCACUACAGUCUUCAAAUUCAAGGGAUCUGCUUUAUUAUAUUUCAAUCUCGUCCCAAUCCACGGAUCUGUCUUCAAAUUCCAGCUCUAAUUGUCGAAGCCUGUUAUUUUGAGCUAGCCUGCUCAUUGCAGCAAGACCUGAAACAAGAACCAAUUAUUGAUGAUGAACAAUGAAAAUACAAUGAAACAAAACUUUAUUCCAAGAUUUGCUUAUAGCUGACUUUCAAAUCUUCAUCUAAUGAUUGCUAUUCUCUGGGUCAAUAUUACUGAUCUUAAAGAGUUUUGAGCGCUAAGUAAAACGCAGCAGCCAAAUUCUUUAGGUGAAACUAGAUCAUUGUUUCACAUUUUUGUAGUUGAUAAAGCCAUUCUUCCAUAGGAUAAUUUACUAGGACAACAGAGAAAAGAGCAUGUAAAUCACUAGGAACACUCAUUUCUAUCAUCUCAUGAAUCAUUGCAAGGUAAACCGUGGAGCUUUGAUCACUAUUUUUGUUUCCUCCUACCAUCCUAUAAUCAAGUGAACUAAUCAUCACUGGCAACCCCUCAUAAAAUUGACCUGCACAACGUGUGGAUUUUUUAGGGGUAGUUUACAUGCAUGAGAGACUACUAUAUGCAUACCGUCAAUUAUUCUGUAAAGAGCUGACCACCAUCUAUCUCUAGGAACUUCGUGUUGCUGAAGAAUAUCAUCUAUAACUUCAUCAUGCUUUCCCUCCAAAACACUCUGCAGAGUUAUGACUGCAUCUUCAGUUUUCUUGACGAUAUUGCUUGUAUCUCCAAUAUCAAACCUUUUAAGGUCAUUCUGUGAAGAAGUGAGGCUAACAGCUAGGGCAAAUUGUGCAGCAGCUGCCCAGCGGGAUGAUGCCUGCCAUCUCUUCCGACCAUCUAACCGUGUGGCAUCAUCUCCACUAAACCUAUUAUCCUCACCUCCAAAAAUUAAGCCUCGUAAGUAUUCAGCAUUUGCAGGCCCUGUACUUUGAACCAUUUUAGAGAAUGCACUUUCUUCAUUAGCUAGCAGUUCCUCUGGAGUACUGUGCUCUAGAACCUGAAAGAACAGAAUCAGAAGUUAUCUGGUCACCAGUAAUUUCCCAAUCCAAAGAAGACUUAAUCAUAGCAUACAUAAAGUCCUUGUAUAUUUAAGCUAGACUAGCCAAGCCAUUCCAGGAAAACAGUCGAUCUUGCCUUAAGGAUAUUGUAGUGCUAGAAUAUGUCUAUUAAACAGGAGGGAAAAUCGAAGAAAGAAAAAGAACCAGAAAUAUCCAAGAAUAACAACGAGUGAGAAGGCACACCUGACCAGCAUCAAGCACAAGAAUCUGGUCGCAGUCAAUGAUGGUAUUUAGUCUGUGAGCAAUAACUAGCAUCGUGCAAGAUUUAAAUUCUUCACGAAUGGUUUUCUGGAUAAAAGCAUCAGUCUUAACAUCCACUGCUGCUGUUGCUUCAUCAAGAACAAGAAUCUUUGACCUUCGCAGCAAUGCUCGAGCAAGACACAAUAAUUGCCUCUGCCCAACACUGAAAUUCUCCCCACUCUCUAAGACCUUCAACAAGGAUGGAGCAGAAUUAUUUCAUCAACACUUCCCUUUCUCUUGUUUUAAACAAUAUAUAAGAAACUUUUUCCAAUAUAAAUGUUUAUACACCUUAAAUGUAAUCUUACUUUAGACACAAUGACCAAUUUAACAGGCACGGAGUUAUGACUUUACCUGACCACUUGAUUAUACUCCAACUUCCAUGAGCAUAGCUACAUGCUCAUAUUUUAUACAAUAAAUGACAAAGAAAAGAUGCCUAACAAGACGUCUAUGAUAAUUUAAGCCUGUUAUUCGACCAUUUUAAUCAUUUUUAUUUGUUUUAAGUUUUAACCGAGAGAUAACUCACUCGCAUCACUAUAAUUAUUUUGGCAGCCCUAAACACCAAAACUAGUUUUCUAGAUUAGCAGUUAGCUGUGGGAGAUAGUUCAACAAACAUACAUCACAAUUAUUAUUUUGGCAGUCCUAAUCAAUAAAACUAGCUUUCUAGAUUAACAAUUAGAAACCGUUUCCUUUUCUAUUUGAAUACCUCAGCAUCCAGACCAAAAGAGUUCCUCCUGAUUACAUCCUUCAAAUGCGCCCUUUCUAAAGCCUCCCAAAGGUCAGCAUCAUUGUGCUCAUUGAAUGGAUCAAGGUUUAAUCGAACAGUUCCUGAAUGAAUUAAAUAUGACUACGAAAAUGAGAAAUUUCAAUCGUAGGAGAUAUUAUAUUAGAAAAUAGUGAGGAAAUAAGCAGAAAUAUUUUAAAUCCUCACUCUAGAAUGUUUCUCCCUACCUGAAGGUAUUAUUAUUCCAACAGAGAAAAGUGAAUGCAUUGGUCAAAAUUUUGACAGAAAAUUAUUUCAGAAAACUUGAAUAAAAAAAGAAUUAUAGGGUUGACGAAGUAUUUUAAAGAUUAAGCCAAGCACUUCACCUAGUAUAAUCAAAACUUAAAGUGAGUACCUGAAAAAAGAACUGGUGAUUGUGGUAUAAUACUAAGAGCCUUUCGCAAAUCUGAGAGUCCAAAUCUCGAAAUAUCACAACCAUCGAUCAAGAUUCUUCCCUUUUCCAGUUCUACAAUCCGAAAUAGUGCAUUCAGCAUGCUGGAUUUUCCUGCACCAGUUCUUCCAACUAUCCCUAUCUUUUCACUUGGAGAAGUAGUAAAGGACAAUCCACAUAAGACUGGGGGAAGUUCGGGCCUAUACCGCAGGACAACAUCCUCAAACUGAAUUGAACCAGAUGAAGGCCAACCAGGUGGAGGACGGUGACUCUCAAUUACAUCUGGAGCCUCUGAAGGCAAAUUGAUAUAUGAACCCACACGUUCCACAGCAUUUAAGCUAUUCUCAGCUCGACUUGCUUGUCUUAAAACACCACUCAAUAAACUAGUGAUAUUUAAAGAAUAGCUCAGAAGUAGACCCAUCGUGGACGCAAAUGCUGCCUGGUUUUCAGCUUUUCCAUUUUGCAGAACUGCAAAGGUUGCUGUCAACCAAAUCAUAAGGCCUCCUAACGUUUCUAACCUUAUUGUGAGCCAACGAUUUGAACUUGAAUUUGCAAGGGUGAAUCUGAUAUUGUUAUCCAUGGAUUUGCCAUUAACAUUAGCAACCCGUUCAUAAGCUUUGUACGCACGAAUGGAUGACAGACCAUUUAAAGCUUCUCCAAAUUGUGCAUAAAUAGGCGAUCUGGUAAUCGAAUCCAAGCGUUUCACUUCACGAGAUGUGCUCUGCCAUUGCAAAUGAUCAUUGAGACUUGUCCAUAGCAAAGAUGCAUUAAGAGUGCAUUUGGAUAGACAACUUUAAAAUUUCAAACAAAUUUGAAAUUAAAGUAUUUUAAAUACAUUCAUUUCAAAAUGCUAAUAUUUGUAAUUAUUUUGUUUGGAUAAAUAAUUUAAAGAAAAUUAAGUUUUGGAAUUUCAUGAUUAAAAAAAAUUAGAAAGAAAAUUAGUGGUAUUAAAAAAAUACAUAUAUGUAUGGAAAAUUAUACAAUAUGGAUAUCAUUAGAAUUGUAAAAAGAUGUCAAUAUUAUUUUGACAAUAUAAAAUAUAUAUUAAAAUUAAUAAAAUGAUUUCGUGGUUUAAUUUUUUUAUUUUGUAGUGAGGUCAUGUGAAUUAAAAAAGAAGAUUUUGAAGAAUUUGAAUGAAAAUUUUGAAUUGCUUGAAUUCAAUUUUGAAAUUCCAAGUAAAAUUUGAAAGUCGUCCUUAAUUUUACACACACACAAAAAAAAAAUCAUUUUUGGUAUUUUCAACACAUUGUUAGAAAUGAAAUCCCUCUUCUAAAUUAUUCAUCCACACACACCCUAAAUGAAAGGUAAUAAUCACCAUGAUAUUUUGAAGUGCAUGCAACUGAGGUAGAACACUUGCUUAUUUUAGACCUAACUUGGAAACUAAAUUAUCCACAAACUGAAUGCACCCUAUGAUGGUGGAAAGUCAAUGUGCUGUACAUUCUCAACACUUAAGAAACAUAAAAACCCAAGGCUUAAAAAAGAUGAGAAACUGAAAAUUAUAGGACAUACCUGAUAAUAUAGAUAGGCUGCAUAAAACAAGAUGAGAAGUGGCAUUAUCGCCCACAAUGAAAAUAUGCUCACGAUGCCUAUCAGUGCAAAUGUCGAGAGAAGCUGCCACAACUGAUUCAUAAACAUAUUCAUGAAAUUAGCAACAUUACGAUCUAUAUCACCUAGAUCUCUUGAAAACCUAUUGAUUACACGCCCAGUGGGAUUGGUCUGGAAAAACAACAUUGGAGCUUUUAGGAUGGAGUUUAGCAUCAUAUCAUGUAAUCUUCUAGCUGCACGAAGACUUGAAGUGAUCAGCCAAAAAGAGUUUGUCAGCGUCACAGUUACCUGAAUUCAUUAAAGUGGUAAAUAACUCAUUAUAAUAAGUACUAAAAUGGAAGGUAAAAGAGGGUAUCAUUAUAAUCUGUCAUUACAGCAAGUGCAAAUGAAUACCAAUGUAAAUCAUCUAUUAGCUACAGACAAAGAAACGCUUACCUGACUAAAUCCUAGGAGAGCAUAUAUGACAAUGUAGUACCCAGGGUGAUAACUACUUGAAGUACUUUGAUCUGUCCAAAAGCGUAACCAAGUGCUGCUUGAAAUUCUAAGAACUUCAGUAGAAAAGUAGAAUGUAAAGAGUAUCAUUACCACCCAUAGACCGCCUAGAGCAUCCUUAUACCUGCAAAAUGAAAAUCAGUUCUAUGCUCAUAUCGAAUUGAAUUGGUAUAACUUCCAAUUUCUUCAGGGUUUCCAUAUGAAUUAAUAAGUUGUUCAUUGCGUUUUACAUGUGAGUUCAAAUGUAGAAGAGUUAAAACUCAAGAAGAACAAAAGAGCACUGCCAUAAGUCCAAUGGGCAAAACUUUUAGCAAAUAAUCAGUGAAAAGUAGGUAUCGUUUGUAGGAUGCAAGACACUACUGCUGUACUACUUUUUGAGUGAACUUGAUAUAAAGGAGCUUCAAAUUUUAUACACUAGUUCUGCCAGCACUAAACUUUUGAACUCCUCAGAAAUUGUUGUUCGAUUUUGAUUGCUGUAGAGAGACAGACACCAUUAACCAAAAGAAGCUGACAAAGGAAGUUCUUCCCAACUGAGUUUAUGUUUUAGAAAAAAAAGAAAAGAAACAUAAAUAAAAUCAAGUUAUUGAAAAGGCCGGAGAAUGAUAAGGUUGUAGUUAUAAAAUCAAAGAUUGGUCCAUGCUACCUCAUCAAAACAUUCCAGCUGACAACACCUGUUUCCCUUUCUUCUUGCUUUACAAGUACAGCUUUCCUUCCUUUUCUUCUUUUUGCAGGAUUUGCAUUUUUUUGCAGCUCAUUUAUCUCAACCAUCUCAUUUGACUUUGGUUUCAAGUCUUCCAGGUCAAAAUUUUUCCCAUCAUCUUUUUCUUCUUGUUUUUCCAUUUUUCCGGCAUUUUCCAUCAGUUUCUGGAAUAACCUUCCAUUUUUGGAGAUCUCCUCGAAGGUACCCUCUUCCUUAAUUACACCAUUAGCGACAAGGAGGAUGUAGUCUACAUGCGGAAGAAAAUGUAGCUGGUUUGUGACAAGUAUUCUGGUUUUCCCUUGCAACUCUUCCUUGAUACAUCUGCUGAAAAC
rnacentral:lncRNA from 1 species